rnacentral:rRNA from 1 species
GGUCACUGCUAUCGGUGUUCGUCUAAGCCAUGCGAGUCAUAUGUUCUUCGGAACAUGGCGUACUGCUCAGUAACACGUGGAUAACCUGCCCUUGGGUCUGGCAUAACUCCGGGAAACUGGGGAUAAUACCGGAUAACGCAUAUCUGCUGGAAUUCUUUAUGCGUGAAAUGGAUUCGUCUGCCCAAGGAUGGGUCUGCGGCCUAUCAGGUAGUAGUGGGUGUAAUGUACCUACUAGCCGACGACGGGUACGGGUUGUGAGAGCAAGAGCCCGGAGAUGGAUUCUGAGACAUGAAUCCAGGCCCUACGGGGCGCAGCAGGCGCGAAAACUUUACAAUGCGGGAAACCGUGAUAAGGGGACACCGAGUGCCAGCAUUAUAUGUUGGCUGUCCGGGUGUGUAAAAUACACCUGUUAGCAAGGGCCGGGCAAGACCGGUGCCAGCCGCCGCGGUAACACCGGCGGCCCGAGUGGUGAUCGUGUUUAUUGGGUCUAAAGGGUCCGUAGCCGGUUUGGUCAGUCCUCCGGGAAAUCUGACGGCUUAACCGUUAGGCUUUCGGGGGAUACUGCCAGACUUGGAACCGGGAGAGGUAAGAGGUACUACAGGGGUAGGAGUGAAAUCUUGUAAUCCCUGUGGGACCACCUGUGGCGAAGGCGUCUUACCAGAACGGGUUCGACGGUGAGGGACGAAAGCUGGGGGCACGAACCGGAUUAGAUACCCGGGUAGUCCCAGCCGUAAACGAUGCUCGCUAGGUGUCAGGCAUGGCGCGACCGUGUCUGGUGCCGCAGGGAAGCCGUGAAGCGAGCCACCUGGGAAGUACGGCCGCAAGGCUGAAACUUAA